GCCGGGGUAGCCUAGCCUGGAAUGGGCGCCAGACUCAUAAUCUGGAGUCGAACGGGGCUAAGCGCCUAACGCCAGAUGUCGCGGGCUCAAAUCCCGCCCCCGGCA
rnacentral:tRNA from 1 species